rnacentral:rRNA from 1 species
UGGGGAAUCUUGGACAAUGGGCGCAAGCCUGAUCCAGCCAUGCCGCGUGGAUGAUGAAGGCCUUAGGGUUGUAAAAUCCUUUCGUGGGGGACGAUAAUGACGGUACCCCAAGAAGAAGCUCCGGCUAACUUCGUGCCAGCAGCCGCGGUAAUACGAAGGGGGCUAGCGUUGUUCGGAAUUACUGGGCGUAAAGCGCACGUAGGCGGAUAUUUAAGUCAGGGGUGAAAUCCCAGAGCUCAACUCUGGAACUGCCUUUGAUACUGGGUAUCUUGAGUAUGGAAGAGGUAAGUGGAAUUCCGAGUGUAGAGGUGAAAUUCGUAGAUAUUCGGAGGAACACCAGUGGCGAAGGCGGCUUACUGGUCCAUUACUGACGCUGAGGUGCGAAAGCGUGGGGAGCAAACAGGAUUAGAUACCCCUGUAGUCCCUGAGCGGGCUGGCAAGGCGCAU